AGCAAAACUGGACAGCAAGAUAGCUCAAAUCAGUCUAGAUAUUGUUGAUGUAUCCCAUUCUCUAAAUGCCCAUUCAACUGAUUUUCACGAAACAGUAAAGCAUCAGGAAUCCACACUGAAUGAGCUGAAGGCUAAAGAAGACAACAUCAGCUCCUUCUUAUACUCCAUCCCCUCAAAACUUCAGGAAACAUCAGGAGAUGAAAAACUUACAGCUUUGAACAACUUGACCAAUGAGAUACUGAGCAGCAUCAGAAAAAUGAUUAAAGAUGAUCCUAAAUCAAAAUGCCCAGAGGACUGGGAUUUCUAUUCAGCCAAUUGCUACUUCUUUUCCGUUGAUGAUGCGCUGUCAUGGCAUGAUGCUAGAGAUUACUGUAAAUCACAAGGAGCCUCUCUGCUUAUUGUGACAAAGCGCAAAGAAUGGGUUUGUUGGACUACAUUUCAGAAUCAUGUAAAUGCAUAGCAGAUUCAGUUGUACAGUAUUAGGAUCUGGUACCAAACUAUUUUCAAGGAUAAUUUCAUCAAAACCUCUUAAAAUGAGCUAUCAUUCUAUAUUAUGUAUAUUUUAGAAGAAUGUAAAGGUGUAACAGUCAUUUUUCUCCUUUGCAGUCCUAUGUGACCAAAACCACCAUGCCGAGGGAUUACUGGGUUGGCCUCACGGAUGAAAAGACAGGCACAUGGAGAUGGGUAGAUGAAACACCUUAUGUUAUGGACCAAAGUACAUGGAGGGAGAACCAGCCCGAUAACUGGACUGGCCAUACUUUGGGAGGAACAGAGGACUGUGCAUAUCUGACAUGGACUGGAAAGCUAAAUGAUGGCCACUGUGCUAAGAAGUAUAAUUAUGUCUGUAAAAAAGCUGCCUCAAUUUCUUGACCACCAUAUAGUCAGAUGAUCAGAUCUAUACCAUUACUGAAGACAUACUUUCAUCUGAAUUCAUCUGUAACAUUUGACACUAAAUAGAUUUUAAAAAAUACUGUAUAUUGA